rnacentral:rRNA from 1 species
AACGAACGCUGGCGGCAUGCCUAACACAUGCAAGUCGAACGAGACCUUCGGGUCUAGUGGCGCACGGGUGCGUAACGCGUGGGAACCUGCCCUUAGGCUCGGAAUAACACCCCGAAAGGGGUGCUAAUACCGGAUAACGUACUCGGACAAAAGAUUUAUCGUCUUUGGAUGGGCCGGCGUUGGAUUAGCUUGGGGGUAGUGUAAAAGCCUACCAAGGCGACGAUCCAUAGCUGGGCUGAGAGGCUGAGCAGCCACACUGGGGCUGGGACACGGCCCAGACUACUACGGGAGGCAGCAGUGGGGAAUAUUGGACAAUGGGCGGAAGCCUGAUCCAGCAAUGCCGCGUGAGUGAUGAAGGCCUUAGGGUUGUAAAGCUCUUUUACCCGCGAUGAUAAUGACAGUACCGGAAGAAUAAGCACCGGCUAACUCCGUG